rnacentral:rRNA from 1 species
UACGUAGGGGGCAAGCGUUGUCCGGAAUCAUUGGGCGUAAAGAGCGCGUAGGCGGCUUGGCAAGUGAGGCGUGAAAGUCCUGGGCUCAACCCGGGGACGGCGCUUCAGACUGCGGGGCUAGAGUCCGGAAGAGGGUGGUGGAAUUCCGAGUGUAGAGGUGAAAUUCGUAGAUAUUCGGAGGAACACCGGCGGCGAAGGCGGCCACCUGGUCCGGAACUGACGCUCAAGUGCGAAAGCGUGGGGAGCAAACAGG